GUUGUGAUGUGAAGUUUGAACAUUGGCUUAUGAUUGAAGCAAUUGGAAAGAAGUCGUUCCUCCGGGAAUGGAGGUGAAUUCUAAACGGCUUUUAUGGGAAUCCCCUGUGUGAUCAAGAAGCCUACGAGGCAAAGCAUAAGGUCAUUCAAGGGAUAGUUUCUUCAUUUUAAAGAAGCAAUUGAAAGUUAACGAUGAUGGGCAACAAUAACAUGUACGCAAUCACUGUAAUUAAAGUUUUGGAAGGAAAAGAAAAGGGAAUAAAUCUCUUUUUCAAACAGUAGUUCUCUAAGCUUUUUGUUUUUCUGAUAGAAAUUCUUAUCUGCUUGGUGAUCUCAUCCAUUUAUAUCUUCAUCCAGUAUAUGCCUAUUACCCGUAAGCAUAUUGGAAGAACUGUUCUUGAAUGUAUUAAAUAGAUUUUAAUAUUGAUAGCAUAAUGAGCUGGAUUGAACAUUAUGUCUGGGAUUUUUCUAAGCGAAGCAUUGAGAUUAAAGAAUGCAACCAUUUCAUGUUCAGGUUCCAGCUAUCCUAAUCUUUUGGGGUUAAGUUGUAAGACGUUAUUUGUGAAUCCCUUGGUAAUAACUUGAAUAACCCACCUUUAAUCAAACCACACUAGUGGAUUAGUUGGAUUAGUCAAGAUAUGUACAAGUUGAUUCAAAUACCAUUUGAGCCUGACAUAAAGCAGAAAGAAGAAAUUGCAUAAUGGCUGCAAGGUUCAGUACAAGGAGAUAGAUGUUUCAUAGUGGGCAAGGUGAAUGAUUGUGGAGAAUCAAUACCCUUGUGUCAGUGCCCAGCAGCAUCUCCUGUUUGAAGAACUUAACUGAAGAUCGGGAGAAUCAAGCAACCCAAAGGAACCUAUAAUUAAGGUCCAGAAACAGAUAUCAGGAAUCUUCCGGUUUAUACAAGUCAUUUAUUUGUAUGGGUACUUUCUUCCAAGUCUUCUGCAGAACUUGUAAGUUCAAGAGAUUGAAGUGAAAAGCUGUUGUUCUCUGCUCUAUCUUUUUCAAAACUGAAUGAAAUUUUUUCUUCCCACUUUCUUUUAUGUAACAGCCCUCCUCGAAAUCUCAUCGUCACCCGAGGCGCUGGACACUCUCCUCCCAGACCCCACAACAGGGCGACCCCAUCCCUUACGGUGAGCAUCAGAAGACAAAGGCUUCCCCGCAGUAGUUUUGGGUAUACCUUCUCCCACCCUUUACGGAACCUUUGUCUUCUGAUGCUCACCGAAAGGGGUGGGGUCGUCCUAUUGUGGGGCUUGGGGGGAGAGUGUCCAGCACCGCAAAAGACCUCAGGGAGGCGGGGUGAGCGGAGGGCUGUUACAUUUUAGCCUUCCAUUUAUCUCUUACAACUGCAGUUCUACAUCAAUUUUUCAAUUUUGCGUGGACUUGAUAGAGGAAGGGAAAAUCAGAUUGAAAAAUUGCUUGAAACAUAAUAUAAUGUAGAAAAACGGAUCAAUUGUCACUGCAUUUAUGAGCAAAGAAUCUUAUGAGAUAGAUUUGUCAGGGUGAUGAGCCGAGGUUAAAGAUAUUAGAAUCACUGUUUGUAGUUUAUGCUCAAGGAAUUUACUGUCUCUUACUCUU